UUUUCUAAAAUUCCUUUAGAAUAAAGCCUGCUCAAUGAAAUUUUAAUAGCCGCAGAAAUUUAACUGUGCUAAGGUAGCAUAAUCAUUUGUCUUUUAAUUGAAGACUAGAAUGAAAGGCUAAACAUUUUCUUUUCUAUUUUUAUAUUCACCCAUUAUAAAAAUUAUAUUAAAUAUAAAAAUAUAUUUAUACAAAAAUUAGACGACAAGACCCUUUCAAACUUUACUUAAGUUUAGCUGGGGAAGCUAUAUAAUUAUAAUCUUAUUUUGAUAAAAAUAUCACGACCCAAUUUUAAUUGAUAAAAUGAUCAAGUUACUGAAGGGAUAACAGCAUAAUAAAUUUUUAUAGCUCUUAUAAAAAAAUUAGUUUAUGACCUCGAUGUUGAAUUAUUUUACUUUUAACCGCAAGAGGCUAAAAAGUAGGUCUGUUCGACCAUUAAAUAUUU
rnacentral:rRNA from 1 species